rnacentral:lncRNA from 1 species
AUUUAUAGCUAUAUCAUCACUCUUUCUUAAUUAUUACUAGCUAAACAAGCAUAGUUCUUGAUGAAAAAUGCAUAACAUUGCCGAAUCAUUUGCGUUUGGGCUGUUGUAUGUUUUGAAUGUGAAAGAAGAGCUCUAGGAAAAUAAGUAGUGAUGAUAAGACAAAACUAUGGUGCAAUUAUGGUACCAUACCGUAGUUACACCUAGUCAUUGUAUCCAGUUGCACACAUGUACUAUAGUUGGAUCCAAUGGCUAAGUGCAGCUAUGGUAUGGUACCACAGUUGCACCAUAACUGGACUCGUGAUGUUACUAGUCUUGCCACUUUAAUGAAUUUAUGAAUUAACUACAUAAUUCAGUACUUAACCUUGGAAAGAAAAAUGUUUAUUAAAUAUGCACUCCAAAAACAACUGCAAUUUUUUUUUAUGGAAUAAUGAUAAUCAAAGUUCUUCUAAUUCAUAGGAGCGCACUUUGAAAUUUAUGUGUCUAAUUAAUAUGGUUUGCUUAAUGGUCAUAAGUAUUUAUUUAAUCUCAUAAGAGCUUUUU